rnacentral:lncRNA from 1 species
UUUUUUUUAAUUUUAUAAUCCAAAAAACUACGUAAAAAAAGUAUUGAUGCCAUAGUUAGUUUUCAUCGCUAGUUACAUUCGUGCAUAUAGGUUUGGAUGACAUUCACUUCCACACGGUAUCAUAGCUUUUUUGCAUUUGCAAGAAAUUUGUGCACGAUCUUUUUCAUUUACACAUUUUGUUUGCGAGUGAAAAACAAGCCUUUUUUGCAGCUGCGUUCAGUGAUACCAAGGUCUUUGGCAAUUCUGAUGUCUACGGUGUUUUUAAGAAGCUCUAGAUCUCAAAUAUCGUAAAAUGACUGCAAUACACCAUCUUCACAACACAACUUAAAUAAACUAAUAGUAUGCUACUUUCCAGUGACUUCUUAUGUAACAGUUCAUUAAGAAUUUUUUGGAAUUUAAUUUUUUAGUCGACAUAUUGCC